AACUCAACUGCUUUGGGCUUGAUUGUCUCAUGCACAGCCUCUUGGAUGUAUUCUUGAUAUGCUACAACCACUUCAUUUUCUUGAAUCCCUUUUCUUGGUGUGCAAGGUUCUUUGAACGUUUCAAUACCAUCGGGAACUUGUUUUGGUGCACCAAGAAUUGGGAUAUCACCUUGCACCUUUGGAAGAGCUUCCACAAUGUCUUUUUCACUCUCUUUGAUAUUUGGAAUAAAAAACCUGCAAGGACAAAGGACAUUCGGUGGAAUAAUGUUAGAAUGAAGUGAAUUUAGAAUUUCCUCACCUGAGUUGGAUGACAUAGGGAUUUGAGGAGCUUACAGCAAGAAUUCUUCUAAACUGCCCAGGUCGUCCUCCUCCUAUUCUGCUUGCAGCAGCAAUUCAUCCAUGUUCGGGCUGUGUUUGGAUGGUUCUGGGACAGCUU
rnacentral:lncRNA from 1 species